AUAACAGAUGGAAACGGCUGCUAAUACCGCAUAAGCGCACAGUACCGCAUGGUACAGUGUGAAAAACUCCGGUGGUGUGAGAUGGACCCGCGUCUGAUUAGCUAGUUGGCAGGGCAACGGCCUACCAAGGCGACGAUCAGUAGCCGACCUGAGAGGGUGACCGGCCACAUUGGGACUGAGACACGGCCCAAACUCCUACGGGAGGCAGCAGUGGGGAAUAUUGCACAAUGGGGGAAACCCUGAUGCAGCGACGCCGCGUGAGCGAAGAAGUAUUUCGGUAUGUAAAGCUCUAUCAGCAGGGAAGAAGAAAUGACGGUACCUGACUAAGAAGCACCGGCUAAAUACGUGCCAGCAGCCGCGGUAAUACGUAUGGUGCAAGCGUUAUCCGGAUUUACUGGGUGUAAAGGGAGCGCAGGCGGAAGGCUAAGUCUGAUGUGAAAGCCCGGGGCUCAACCCCGGUACUGCAUUGGAAACUGGUCAUCUAGAGUGUCGGAGGGGUAAGUGGAAUUCCUAGUGUAGCGGUGAAAUGCGUAGAUAUUAGGAGGAACACCAGUGGCGAAGGCGGCUUACUGGACGAUAACUGACGCUGAGGCUCGAAAGCGUGGGGAGCAAACAGGAUUAGAUACCCUGGUAGUCCACGCCGU
rnacentral:rRNA from 1 species